rnacentral:rRNA from 1 species
UACGUAGGGUGCAAGCGUUAAUCGGAAUUACUGGGCGUAAAGCGUGCGCAGGCGGUGCUGUAAGACAGAUGUGAAAUCCCCGGGCUCAACUUGGGAACUGCAUUUGUGACUGCAUCGCUGGAGUGCGGCAGAGGGGGAUGGAAUUCCGCGUGUAGCAGUGAAAUGCGUAGAUAUGCGGAGGAACACCGAUGGCGAAGGCAAUCCCCUGGGCCUGCACUGACGCUCAUGCACGAAAGCGUGGGGAGCAAACAGG